GAGCCGGUAGCUCAGUUGGUAGAGCACUGCCCUUUUAAGGCAGGUGUCGAGAGUUCGAGACUCUCCCGGCUCA
rnacentral:tRNA from 1 species